ACCGGGCAUGGUGGUGCACACCUGUAAUCCUAGCACUCAGGAGGCUGAGGCAGGAGG
rnacentral:miRNA from 1 species